ACAGAUGGUGUACGUGUGUCGGAACCCUAAAGAUGUUGUCUUGUCCUAUUACAAGCUGUUGCAAUGGUUCGACUGGUGUGAUAUGUCAUUAGCAGAAUUCUUUGAGGAUUUUAUUAGUGGAAAAGUUUUGUAUGGUGCUUGGGAAGACCACGUGCUUGGAUUUUGGAAUAACACCGAAGGUGGGAACGUUUUAUUUAUGAAGUAUGAAGAUGUUGUCAAGGAUAUUCCAAAGACCAUAGAAGACAUAGCAAGCUUUCUUGGUAGAACACUGACCGAUGGCGAUGUUAACAUAAUACAUCAGCACUGCGCUAUUGAAAGCAUGCGAAAGAACCAGACGCUUAAUUUGGAGCAUUUGACUGCAAGUAAAAUGAAAGAUGGAUAUGGAGGUUUCAU